rnacentral:lncRNA from 10 species
CAAUUAACUGAAUUUUAGAUAAACCACAAUAUUAAGUGAAGCUGCUUGUGGCCAACUUUGCUGGAUAUAUCCAUUUACAGUUGGAGAGAAUGAGGGUGAUCUAUAAAAGGAGCUGAGAGAUCAACUGACGUUUAUCUACAAGGAUUUUUAUCAGGGUUGUUUGAAACCAGGGGUCAGCAAAAUUGUUUCGUGACCAGUCAAGUGUGCACAGAAUCAUCUGAGCACCUGACUCAGAGGUCAUGAAAUGCUUUCCUUCACCUGGAUGCAUGAAAAGUAGACAGGUACUGCUGACUCUGAACUGAAGAUCAAGCUGAUGGGCUCUGACUAUGGGAGGUUUCUUCAGCAGAAUAAAUUCACUGAUGCAAGUUUCA